GUAGGUGAACCUGCGGAAGGAUCAUUAAUGAAGCCUGGAAUCCCUCCCUCCCGGGAUGGGAAACCUCUCUCUCAUCACACACCCUUGUGAACUCACACUGUUGCUUCGGCGGCGAACGGUCUGCGAUCUCUACCUCCCCUGCCCUCGGGCUCGUGGCUGGAGCCGCAGAGCCGCCCGCCGGAGGAUUUUUUGCCAAACAACUGUCCAACAAAGCGUCUGAACCACAAACAAGAAAAAAAUUGUAACAAAACUUUCAACAAUGGAUCUCUUGGCUCUG
rnacentral:misc_RNA from 1 species